GAGUUUGAUCGUGGCUCAGAUUGAACGCUGGCGGCAUGCCUUACACAUGCAAGUCGAACGGCAGCAUGAUCUAGCUUGCUAGAUUGAUGGCGAGUGGCGAACGGGUGAGUAAUACAUCGGAACGUGCCCCGUAGUGGGGAGUAACUAGUCGAAGAUUAGCUAAUACCGCAUACGACCUGAGGGUGGAAAGUAGGGGGACCGGCAAGGCCUCAUGCUAUAGGAGCGGCCGAUGUCUGAUUAGCUAGUUGGUGGGGUAAAGGGCCCGACCAAGGCGACGAUCAGUAGCUGGUCUGAGAGGACGAUCAGCCACACUGGGACUGAGACACGGCCCAGACUCCUACGGGA
rnacentral:rRNA from 1 species